AACUGAAGAGUUUGAUCAUGGCUCAGAUUGAACGCUGGCGGCAGGCCUAACACAUGCAAGUCGAGCGCGAAAACACUUCGGUGUGAGUAGAGCGGCGGACGGGUGAGUAAUGCUUGGGAAUCUGCCCAGUAGUGGGGGAUAACCUGUGGAAACGCAGGCUAAUACCGCAUACGUCCUACGGGAGAAAGCAGGGGAUCUUCGGACCUUGCGCUAUUGGAUGAGCCCAAGUCGGAUUAGCUUGUUGGUAGGGUAAUGGCCUACCAAGGCAACGAUCCGUAGCUGGUCUGAGAGGAUGAUCAGCCACACUGGGACUGAGACACGGCCCAGACUCCUACGGGAGGCAGCAGUGGG
rnacentral:rRNA from 2 species